UUCUCCCCCAAUCCGCCGCCUCCUCUCGUUUCCUCUCCCCCGCUCGGAAGCAGCACACCGCUGCUCAACUGGAGGCGCGACAGACGUCCGCGCGGAGGCGAUGCGGCGGCGGCGGCUGGCGGCGCGCGUCCUCGAUUUAGUCCAGCGGCGGCUGGCCGGGCGCGCCGGCGGCUGAAGGCAUCUACCGAGCGGCGGUGGGGGCUGGCAGUGCGCACCCUAGAGGCUCAGGUGAGCCUGCCGGGGCGGCGGCGAGCAGGCUAUGAACGGGGUGGUGGCGCCUCGUCUCUUUUCUCCCUCGAGAUCUUGCACGGGAUUGGCCCAAUCCUCACCUCCCACGCCCUCUUCUGACUCCCUGCCUCGUCUCCUUCCAUCCUCGUUCUUUGGCUUCAGCCAUCAAGGACGCGGAUAAAGUGGCGGAGCAGCACGGGGCUAAGAUUUGUUCAGGGAACGGAGGAAGAGGGCUGCGCCACCAUACGUGCUUCCAAGACUGCCUACACCACUUCUCGUCUUCCUCCUGGCCAAAAUCAUGCCUAAAGGGUUUGGGCUGGAGCAUUGGAGCUCCGACGCUUGCGCCGCUGUGCGCCAAAGUUGUGAAAUGGCUUCUACUGGAUUCUAGAAAAUAAUAAGCAAGUCAAGUGACUGAUUUUUGUAGACAUAUGUUCACAGGGCUAGAAGGUUAAGCCAGGAACAACCUUAGUUGAGCCAUUACUGCAUAAAUAUGAAGAUACUGCCUACCUAUAUUGCAGUUCUUUUGCAUAGGUACUUUUGUCGGAAGACAAGAAGCCACGGGGCAGCGCGGACAAGAAUCAGCAGGGGCGGCGGUGCUCCGCCUAGAGGAGUUACAUGGGAGAGGAAGGAGGGCGGCGACAAGAGGGAAGAGCAGGCGGCCUUGGUUCAUGGAGAACGACUGAUGCCCAUCCGGAUCCCGUCUACCUUCUUCUUUUGGUUGGACAUAGAUCAGUCAUAGAAAGCAGAAGCAUGGCUGCAAUUGUCCAUGAAGCUGUCCAACUCCUAUCACCUUGUUAAAGUGCUUGCACAAGAUCUGGACUUGCUCUCAUAUUGCCCCAGGAUAUACUGAUGGGUCAUCCAGGUGUAGAUUAUGGUAAUAUCAUGUGUGUUGGAUACUUUCUAGCUCUCCUUUUUUUUGUUCUUUGGGUUAUCCCCAAAAAAGGCAUGCCAAUUGAAAACUGCAUUAGUUUGCUAAAAUUGGGUUUAAGCUAAAAAAUCAAGUAUGAGCUUACAUGCAUUUGGUGCGACAGAAUUUGAUGUUGAUCCUUGUCUUGUGUUUAACCCUUUUUAAAUUUUGGAUAUAGCUCUCUGAUAUGUACCUACAGCUGUUAAAUCAUAUGUCAUAGAGCCCUCUGGAGAAUCUUUGGUAUUAGUAAGCUUUGCAGAUGUUGGGCUAUGACUUGUAAUGUUUGGGUUUGGGAGGCGGUAGACUAUUCCGCUAGCUGUGACAACAUCCAACAUUGGUGCACGGAGAUUCAGUGGGUUUUUCCGCCGUAUUAUUUAUGCCUAUGUCGAUGCUAUCAUCGUAUUGACAUGCUUUAUUCUACUGACGUCUUCGUUAGCUAUCUGAAUAAUUUCGUUAGCUAUCUAAUCUAAAACUAUAGUUCAUAUCUUCAACUCAUGUGACCUAUCUGAAUUAUCUCCCGUUCAGAACCUUGCAAUCGGAUGUUGGAGCUGAUGAGAUGAUCAAGUGUUUUUGGAUAUUUGUGCUGAUUGGGAGAAUAAUGGUGCUAAUCCAUCUCUUACACAAGUGUUUUUGGAUAUUUGUGCUGAGCUAAAUUUUGAACUAUUCCUGCACAAAAACAAAGUAUCUUCCAUUCAGAAUUUUUGCUUCAUUGAACAUAUCGUUUUCCUUUGUUUCUAACUGUGUGGUACCAAUAUUAAGAAAACAGAAGCCAAUGUGUAGUACUUUUAGUAAGGAAUCACUACGAGUCUUAGUGUGCCAGCUAAAAAGAACCUAUAGACCCGAUGAUUUUUAUAUGAAAGGGAUCUGAAAAUAUGAAAGUUGUAGAGGGAAGUAAUGGUACACGUCCAUAUAAAGAGUUUGAUCACGGGCUUCAAUCGCCUCUAUCACUCAGUUUGGUUCUCUCUUAUAUAGAGUCCCCAGUUUUGUUCUCACGGUUUAUAGCAUUACAGCAAGUAUAUUAUGGCAAUGAGUAGUUUCAUUUUAAAUUUGUAUUAUUCAUGUUUGCUCCGGUCAUAUAUGUUCUUCUCAUUAUAGCAUUACAUGUAUUACUCUGUUUUACUAUCAAGGUGUGUCUAUUGUUCUACACAGCUGGUCACCGUCAGUAGCUAGAGAUUUGUCCGAUACUUGCUUGUGACAGCUUCUACUUACUCAUUUCCCUGUGGGUGGCGGCGGCAGUGACGACUUGGUUGGAGGGGAUGCGGUAGGAGGAGGGCGCAAAGGGGCGGGAGGGGUGGCCGCCGGGGAGGCGGAGCUGUGCCGGCCACCGCAAGUGAGGAAGAGGAUGGAGCUUGGUGCAGCAGAAGGGGAGAGCCUCAAGGGGUUGGAGCGACGACUACUCCGCCCUCGCCAGCUUCCGCCGCCGCUCCUCCCUUGCGCAGCCGCCACCAUCCACGGGUUCGGGCUCCGUCUCGGAAAUUGAGGAGCCGGUUGGCCCGCUCAGGGGCGUGGCCAUCGGUGUCCAGCGUGCUGCUCGACGGCCGUUUCUGCAACGUCUGAGGAAGAAGAGAAGGAGGAUAUCAAGCAGGGGAUGUUGGGCUCUAAUGGUUGGAGGUAGCCAUGACUGCCAGUGGUAGCCAGAGAGGUCGUUUGGCUGCUUUGUAUAUGGCACAAGGAGGAAGGGAGCUGGAGACGACGAUGGAACCAAACAAUCCUACAUCAACAAGAGAACCAAACAAUCCUACAUCAACAAGAGAACCUCCCGAGCGAUGGCGGCGGCGGGAGGGAGCGCGCGCCUGAGCGAGGAGGGGGUUUGAAGUGUCCGUGCCAGCAACCUCACCGUCUCCAACCUAUCUGCAGAAGAGUGUGGAUUUUGUACACCCACGCAUGGGUGGUCUGGACCGGGAGGCCUGAGAGCUCCACUUCACCAGGCGUGGCCUAGCGCCAUCUGCCCCGAAAUUACUCCGACAUUUGACGCCGGGAAGAGAUCCCGCGACGUUUGACGCCGGGAAGCAGCUUCUCGCGCGCAAAGGGAGGCGGCUCGCCGGCUCGGGCGAGAAGGUACUGGGGAGGUGGCUCGCGCGAGAAGGGACUAGGGACGCGGUCUGCAUCCGGAAGAGAAGCAGGGGGCGGAGGUAUGAAGGGAGGUGACGACCUGGAGCCUGGUUACGUGAAACCCAGCGUUGGAUACGAUGGCCAUGGCGAUGCUGAAGAAGCAUACCCUGCCGAUGGGGAGGAGAACGAAGGGAUCGUGAUCUUUGUACAUGACGAGGUUGUUGCCGGCCAUGUCAUCGAGGAGGAGCAUGUGGCGGAGAACAUGGGCGCCGGUGGCGUCGAGCUUGCAGCUGUGAUUGUACAGCUUGAGGAUGGCAACUCUUCUUCAUAUGCUGGGUACCAAGCGUCGACGAGGUGCUUAGCCACCGUCAACGUUUUGGCGACGAAGGCGUUUGGAGCAUCAUGCUGCGACGCGUCUGGGCUCGGCUCCUUUGAUUCUUAUUUGGUCGUCACGCAGGAGUUUAUCGUCAGUUAGUGUUUUGAUUGCCAGUUAGCAAUGCCUUCCUCUCGUUCAGUACCAAGUUAUCAAAGUAGUUCAGGUGUUUAUUUUGGGAUCCUUUUUAUUCGAUGACAUUUAAGGAAGGAAAUCAUUCUUGUACUGGAUACUUGUGAUGUGUAAUAUCAUCCAUGUCUUAGAUGUGUUUAUCAAUGACAUGCCUUGUCGGGAGAGAGGAAAAGCAGCAGCGGGGUGGCUUUUGCCCCUGUACAUGGGACCUACUACCUUUCCAGAAAAUGGAGGAAAUAGAUGAAAAUGGCUUCUCUCACAUGGAAUCUUGCACGAAUCUCCAACGAUCCAACAGCAAAGAGUACACCCACACUCAUGUUUGGGUGUACAAAUGUAUUUCCGUUUGAAGAAUCUGCACUAUGCUCGUUAUGCUUUUAGUCAUACUUAACAUUUUGUCCUAGCUGGGCCCUCACUUUUCCCCUUGACCCCAGCCUCCCUCUUUUUGGCAUAAAGUCAUAGAUAUUAUCAUAACUUUGAUGCAAUAUGUACUGCAAAUUUAAUCCAGCUGACAUAGGGUUCUUACUCUUCCAUUUUAGGUUCAUUGAACAACCUGCCGACACAUGGUUGUUACUCUUCUAUGUUAGGUUCAGUGAACAAUUUGUGUGUGAUCAUGAAUUAACCCUUCGGAAUUUUAAGAUGCAGCAUAAUUUAUAAAGGGCAAGAUGUCCUGGCAGAAUUAUUAACUUUCA